GGAAUCUUGCACAAUGGGCGAAAGCCUGAUGCAGCCAUGCCGCGUGAGUGAAGCAGGCCUUAGGGUUGUAAAGAUCUUUCAUUGGUGAAGAUAAUGACGGUAGCCACAGAAGAAGCCCAGGCUAACUCCGUGCCAGCAGCCGCGGUAAUACGGAGGGGGCUAGCGUUGUCCGGAAUCACUGGGCGUAAAGCGCACGUAGGCGGAUGAGCAAGUUGGGGGUGAAAGCCCGGAGCUCAACUCCGGAAUUGCCUCCAAAACUGAUCGUCUCGAGUCCGGGAGAGGUGAGUGGAAUUCCUAGUGUAGAGGUGAAAUUCGUAGAUAUUAGGAAGAACACCAGUGGCGAAGGCGGCUCACUGGCCCGGUUACUGACGCUGAGGUGCGAAAGCGUGGGGAGCAAAC
rnacentral:rRNA from 1 species